rnacentral:rRNA from 1 species
CCUACGGGGGGCAGCAGUGAGGAAUAUUGGUCAAUGGGCGCGAGCCUGAACCAGCCAAGUCGCGUGAGGGAUGACGGUCCUACGGAUUGUAAACCUCUUUUGCCGGGGAGCAAGCGUGCGUUCGUGAACGCGCGUCGAGAGUACCCGGAGAAAAAGCAUCGGCUAACUCCGUGCCAGCAGCCGCGGUAAUACGGAGGAUGCGAGCGUUAUCCGGAUUUAUUGGGUGUAAAGGGGGCGCAGACGGCGAUGCAAGCCAGGAGUGAAAGCCCGGGGCCCAACCCCGGGACUGCUCUUGGAACUGCGUGGCUAGAGUGCAGGAGGGGCAGGCGGAAUUCCUGGUGUAGCGGUGAAAUGCGUAGAUAUCAGGAGGAACACCGGUGGCGAAGGCGGCCUGCUGGACUGCAACUGACGUUGAGGCCCGAAAGCGUGGGGAGCAAACAGGAUUAGAUACCCCAGUAGUC